AUGUACACACAUCCACACCCACACAUGCACACAUGUCCACACACCCACAUGCACACAUGUACACACACACCCACAUGCACAUGUACACACCCGCACCUAUAUGCACACAUGUACACACAUGCACCCCUACACAUGCACACAUGUACACACCCACACAUGUACACAAUACACCAACACAUACAUGCACACAUGUACACACACAUACACCCCAGACAUGCACACAUGUACUUACAUCGACAUGCAUGCACACAUGUACACACCCACAUGCACACAUGUGCACACACCCACACACACGUACACAUACCUGCACACAUGUACACACUCUUCCACACAUGCACACAUGUACACACACCCACACAUACAUGCACACAUGUAGGCACACCCAGACAUACCUGCACACAUGUACACACACACCCACGCACAUGCACACACCCCCACACACAUGCGCAUGUGUGCACACAUGUACACACACCCACACCCACACAUGCACACACAUGCACACACCCAAACACACACAUGUACACACACCCACACAUGAACACACACAUGCACAUUGUGGUAUUAAUAAACACUACUAUUAUGCACAUGUACACACACCCACACACAUGCACACAUGUACAUACACCCACACCCAUGCACACGUACACACACCCACACCCACACAUGCACGCAUAUACACACCCACACACAUGCACACAUGUACACACACACCCACACAUGCAUGCAUAUACACACAUGCACACACAUACACCCACACAUGCACACAUAUGCACACAUAUACACACAUGCACACACACACUCCACACACAUGCACACAUGUACACACAUACACCCACAUGCACACAUAUACACACAUACACUCCACACAUACACACAUACACCCACACUCACACAUGCACACAUACACACACACGCACACAUGUACACCCACACACAUGCACACAUGUAUACACAUACACCCACACACAUGCACACAUGUACACACAUAUACCCACACAUGUACACACACCCACACACAUACAUGCACAUACGUGUGAACUCUACCCUGUCUCCAGGUCACACAUGCAUGAGGUAUAA
rnacentral:lncRNA from 1 species